rnacentral:rRNA from 1 species
GAUGAACGCUGGCGGCGUGCCUAAUACAUGCAAGUCGAGCGAACAGAUAAGGAGCUUGCUCCUUUGACGUUAGCGGCGGACGGGUGAGUAACACGUGGGUAACCUACCUAUAAGACUGGGAUAACUUCGGGAAACCGGAGCUAAUACCGGAUAAUAUUUCGAACCGCAUGGUUCGAUAGUGAAAGAUGGUUUUGCUAUCACUUAUAGAUGGACCCGCGCCGUAUUAGCUAGUUGGUAAGGUAACGGCUUACCAAGGCGACGAUACGUAGCCGACCUGAGAGGGUGAUCGGCCACACUGGAACUGAGACACGGUCCAGACUCCUACGGGAGGCAGAAGUAGGGAAUCUUCCGCAAUGGGCGAAAGCCUGACGGAGCAACGCCGCGUGAGUGAUGAAGGUCUUCGGAUCGUAAAACUCUGUUAUUAGGGAAGAACAUACGUGUAAGUAACUGUGCACGUCUUGACGGUACCUAAUCAGAAAGCAACGGCUAACUACGUG